ensembl:lncRNA
AGAAAAUAUACAUUUAUUCUGUUUUGUUAUUGUUGCCAGUCGUGUCCAUGAGUAUUCAACUAGGCUUGAAAUGAUUUACAUUUCCCUCUCUCUGUAGUCACAAAGCUAGAAGCUGAGAGAGGUGGCCCCGAGUAAAGACUCAACAUCUGUCUGUGGUCAUGAAGCUGAGAGAGGUGGCCCCGAGUAAAGACUCAACAUCUGUCUGUGGUCAUGAAGCUGAGAGAGGUGGCCCCAAGUAAAGACUCAACAUCUGUCUGUGGUCAUGAAGCUGAGAGAGGUGGCCCCGAGUAAAGACUCAACAUCUGUCUGUGGUCAUGAAGCUGAGAGAGGUGGCCCCGAGUAAAGACUCAACAUCUGUCUGUGGUCAUGAAGCUGAGAGAGGUGGCCCCGAGUAAAGACUCAACAUCUGUCUGUGGUCAUGAAGCUGAGAGAGGUGGCCCCAAGUAAAGAUUCAACAUCUGUCUGUGGUCAUGAAGAUGAGAGAGGUGGCCCCUAGUAAAGACUCAACAUCUGUCUGUGGUCAUGAAGCUGAGAGAGGUGGCCCCAAGUAAAGAUUCAACAUAUUUUUGCAAAUGUGCAUACUGUAUAUAUUUGUGUGUACACAUACAGUUGAAGUCGGAAGUUUACAUACAUUUAGGUUGGAGUCAUUAAAACACGUUUUUCAA